rnacentral:rRNA from 1 species
CCUACGGGAGGCAGCAGUGGGGAAUAUUGGGCAAUGGGCGCAAGCCUGACCCAGCAACGCCGCGUGAAGGAAGAAGGCUUUCGGGUUGUAAACUUCUUUUGUCAGGGAAGAGUAGAAGACGGUACCUGCCGAAUAAGCCACGGCUAACUACGUGCCAGCAGCCGCGGUAAUACGUAGGUGGCAAGCGUUUUCCGGAUUUACUGGGUGUAAAGGGCGUGUAGCCGGGUUGACAAGUCAGAUGUGAAAUCCUGCGGCGUAACCGCAGAACUGCCUUUGAAACUGUUGAUCUUGAGUACUGGAGAGGUAGACGGAAGUCCUAGUGUAGCGGUGAAAUGCUUAGAUAUUAGGAGGAACCCCAGUGGCGAAGGCGGUCUGCUGGACUGAGACUGACGGUGAGGCGCGAAAGCGUGGGUAGCAAACAGGAUUAGAUACCCUGGUAGUC